rnacentral:rRNA from 1 species
AUUGAACGCUGGCGGCAUGCCUUACACAUGCAAGUCGAACGGCAGCACGGGAGCAAUCCUGGUGGCGAGUGGCGAACGGGUGAGUAAUAUAUCGGAACGUGCCCAGUCGUGGGGAUAACGUAGCGAAAGCUACGCUAAUACCGCAUACUAUCUAUGGAUGAAAGCGGGGGAUCGCAAGACCUCGCGCGAUUGGAGCGGCCGAUAUCAGAUUAGGUAGUUGGUGAGGUAAAGGCUCACCAAGCCGACGAUCUGUAGCUGGUCUGAGAGGACGACCAGCCACACUGGGACUGAGACACGGCCCAGACUCCUACGGGAGGCAGCAGUGGGGAAUUUUUGGGACAAUGGGCGCAAGCCUGAUCCAGCAAUGCCGCGUGCAGGA